rnacentral:rRNA from 1 species
UACGGGAGGCAGCAGUGGGGAAUAUUGCACAAUGGGCGAAAGCCUGAUGCAGCUAUGCCGCGUGUAUGAAGAAGGCCUUAGGGUUGUAAAGUACUUUCAUCGGGGAGGAAAAACAAAACUAAUAAUUUUAUUUCUUGACGUUACCCGAAAAAGAAGCACCGGCUAACUCCGUGCCAGCAGCCGCGGUAAUACGGAGGGUGCUAGCGUUAAUCAGAAUUACUGGGCGUAAAGAGCACGUAGGUGGUUUUUUUAAGUCAGAUGUGAAAUCCCUGGGCUUAACCUGGAACUGCAUUUUGAAACUGAAAUACUAGAGUAUCGUAGAGGGAGGUAGAAUUCUAGGUGUAGCGGUGAAAUGCGUAGAUAUCUGGAGGAAUACCUGUGGCGAAAGCGGCCUCCUAAACGAAUACUGACACUGAGGUGCGAAAGCGUGGGGAGUCAAACGAGGUAUAGAC